UAGGGAAUCUUCCACAAUGGGCGAAAGCCUGAUGGAGCAACGCCGCGUGAGUGAAGAAGGUUUUCGGAUCGUAAAGCUCUGUUGUUGGUGAAGAAGGAUAGAGGUAGUAAACUGGCCCCUAUUUGACGGUAAUCAACCAGAAAGUCACGGCUAACUACGUGCC
rnacentral:rRNA from 1 species